rnacentral:tRNA from 1 species
GUUAACGUAGCAUAACCCGCUCUGCAAAAGACCUAAGCCCUUUUAAUAGAGGUUCAAAUCCUCUCGUUAACU